GAUGAACGCUGACAGCAUGCUUAACACAUGCAAGUCCACUUGAACUUCGGUUUGGGUGGCGGACGGGUGAGUAACGCGUAAAGAACUUGCCUCACAGAUAGGGACAACAUUUGGAAACGAAUGCUAAUACCUGAUAUUAUGAUUAUAUGGCAUCGUAUAAUUAUGAAAGCUAUAUGCGCUGUGAGAGAGCUUUGCGUCCCAUUAGCUAGUUGGAGAAGUAACGGCUCACCAAGGCGAUGAUGGGUAGCCGGCCUGAGAGGGUGAUCGGCCACAAGGGGACUGAGACACGGCCCUUACUCCUACGGGAGGCAGCAGUGGGGAAUAUUGGACAAUGGACCAAGAGUCUGAUCCAGCAAUUCUGUGUGCACGAUGAAGUUUUUCGGAAUGUAAAGUGCUUUCAGUUGGGAAGAAAAAAAUGACGGUACCAACAGAAGAAGUGACGGCUAAAUACGUG
rnacentral:rRNA from 1 species